GGAUAGGAGGGCGAUCUGGCUGUGACAACUGUCACCCCAUUGAUCGCCAUGGUUGAUUUGGCUGGCUAGGCGGGUGUCCCCUUCCUCCCCGCUCCAUGUGCAUCCCUCUCGAAGCUCCGCGCUCAGUGGAAGAGGACAACCAUCCCAGAUAGAAGGAGUGUACCGAUCUUCGGUCAAGUAUAUACGAUAGCUGCGCUCCCUGCUAAGCUCCAAACAAGCUCAAGGUUGGACUUUCAAAACAAAAAUGUAACAAGAUUUCAACAAUGGAACAAUCUGCUUU
rnacentral:snRNA from 1 species